AUGCUUCUCUUGUGGGGCUAAGGACAGAAGCCAGAGUUCUGAGAGCACGGGACAACUCCCUCUGUCCCAUGUAGCACUGUCCUCAUGCCUGCCCCAUGAUGGGAGUCAGAUCUUCCAGAAUCUACACCAUUCAGAAAAGGUUUGGACCAGUGAGCUGGAUCAGCAGUGUCUGUCCGCCUAACUCCUGAAAACUACUACCUCUGGAGACUCCUCCUUGUCCGCAUUCAUUCACUUACUCAUGAGGGGUUGGAGAACAGAACUGAGACCUUGAUCCUAGUGUAUGAGAGGUUAAACGGCUGCCCUCCCACAGCUCUGGGCCAGGCGAACGUGGUGGAGCCCCAGCAUCCCAGGCUCGCCAGACCAGCAUCCUGUACCAAACUGUGCUCUGACCAGAGAGCAGGAAUGAAAGAAGCUAAAGCCAUCAUCAGACUCUGUGCAGCCAUGCAUUAUAUGGAAGAGCUGGAUGUAAGCUCUUAGCAUCUGCUCCAGCACCAUGCCUGCCCACCUGCCGCUGUGCUGUCACGAUGGUCGUGCACUCCAAGACCCUGGAAUGGUGAGCCUCAGUAAUCAUUUUCUUGGCCAUGGUGUCUCCUCACAAUAGAAAAGUAACUAAGCAAGAAAGCAAGAAGGGGUUUUAGAGAAAUGGCUGAGUAGGUCUUGGGGAAGACACAUAUGUAAUGAUCAUUAAAAUUAGGAAGC
rnacentral:lncRNA from 1 species